rnacentral:rRNA from 1 species
AGAGUUUGAUCCUGGCUCAGGACGAACGCUGGCGGCGUGCUUAACACAUGCAAGUCGAACGGAAAGGCCCUGCUUUUGUGGGGUGCUCGAGUGGCGAACGGGUGAGUAACACGUGAGUAACCUGCCCUUGACUUUGGGAUAACUUCAGGAAACUGGGGCUAAUACCGGAUAGGAGCUCCUGCUGCAUGGUGGGGGUUGGAAAGUUUCGGCGGUUGGGGAUGGACUCGCGGCUUAUCAGCUUGUUGGUGGGGUAGUGGCUUACCAAGGCUUUGACGGGUAGCCGGCCUGAGAGGGUGACCGGCCACAUUGGGACUGAGAUACGGCCCAGACUCCUACGGGAGGCAGCAGUGGGGAAUAUUGCACAAUGGGCGGAAGCCUGAUGCAGCAACGCCGCGUGCGGGAUGACGGCCUUCGGGUUGUAAACCGCCUUCGCCUGUGACGAAGCGUGAGUGACGGUAAUGGGUAAAGAAGCACCGGCUAACUACGUG